rnacentral:rRNA from 1 species
GAAAUCUUCAAAGUCAAUCUUUUGUUAAUUCAAUUGGUUGUGCUUUGGUAUUGGAGGUCUAUUGCAGCUUCACCCCUGCUCCUCUUUGUACAUUAGCUGGAUCUCGGUGUUAUGCUUGGUUCCACUCGGCGUGAUAAGUUAUCUAUCGCUGAGGACACUGGUAAAAAGGUGGCCAAGGUAAACGCAUGAAUGAACCGCUUCCAACCGUCCAUUGACUUGGACAAUACUC